CCUACGGGAGGCAGCAGUAGGGAAUAUUGGACAAUGGGCGCAAGCCUGAUCCAGCCAUGCCGCGUGAGUGAAGAAGGCCCUCGGGUUGUAAAGCUCUUUUGUUGGGGAAGAAAAGCCUUGGGUUAAUACCCUGAGGUUCUGACGGUACCCAAAGAAUAAGCACCGGCUAACUUCGUGCCAGCAGCCGCGGUAAUACGAAGGGUGCAAGCGUUACUCGGAAUUACUGGGCGUAAAGCGUGCGUAGGUGGUUCGUUAAGUCUGAUGUGAAAGCCCUG
rnacentral:rRNA from 1 species